rnacentral:tRNA from 1 species
GGAGGUGGAGCUCAGUGGUAGAGUGCUUCCCUAGCAUGCACUAAGGCCCUGGGUUUGAUCCCCAGCACCUCAA